UGCCGAUUCGCGAUCAACCUGCCCCAGCGACUCGGCUACCGUGUGACGACCGACCGUACGCAUCCCGUAUCUUCGUACAUAGGAGUGUGUGGGAAGUCUGCCGAAACACCUUCGAAGGACUCGGCAAAAUUUUGGAUUUUGGCAACAGAGUGGGGAAGUGGCACCAAUAUUGUGACAAAAUGGUGGACGAAGGAGAAAGAUCGCAUGUGUCUGGUGCUGUGGGAUUGUCGGGAUUGGAAUGUCAGGGCUUUUAACAGCAGGAAAAGUGAGAUGUAACGAAAAAGGAAAUCAACUGAAAUCAGGAAGUUUGCCUUGUCUGAAGCUGUGAGCUGGACCUUCUACCAAACAGAGAGUUACAGGAGUCUAUUUUUAAGGAAGACAGAGUCUAAUUUUUCACAACAGAGAGUCUAUUGAGAUCUAUAUAGAAACACCACAACCAAAAUACCUCAAGGAAAAUUCAACAUUGAUUCUGACAAUUAAUGGAAUCAGUAACUGACACUGCCAUAUAUUCUGCAGGACCAAAUAAACUUUCAACAAGGAGAAAUUUAUUUAUUCUUUCUUAAAUGACUGUUUUCAUUCACUGGUACUUUGACUUGUCUGUGAGGAGUAAUAUUUGAGCCAAAAGAAGGUUAUUUGUGAAUUUUAUGCCCUAUUUUUGGAUGUUCUUGUGCUUAUUAUUGGAGAAUGAAAGAUUUGACAACCAUCUUCUGUGGGGUAUCAUCGGUUAUCUGCUGCUGAGGCGAUGCGCCUAAUUCAGAGCACGGAGGAAAACAACAGAAGUGCUUGUUGGAUUGGGACCGUUGCCUUGGCAACGCGAUCAGAGGAACCACUGUGUGAUUUCGCCCUCUCCUGGAUCCGUUGGCGACGAAAUUCGCAAGGAUAUGCAGCUAACACUGGAACUUCC